rnacentral:rRNA from 1 species
GAUGAACGCUAGCGACAGGCUUAACACAUGCAAGUCGAGGGGCAGCAUAGAAGUAGCAAUACUUUGGUGGCGACCGGCGCACGGGUGAGUAACGCGUAUGCAACCUACCUAUCAGAGGGGAAUAACCCGGCGAAAGUCGGACUAAUACCGCAUAAAACAGGGGCACCGCAUGGUGAUAUUUGUUAAGGAAAUUCGCUGAUAGAUGGGCAUGCGUUCCAUUAGGUAGUUGGUGAGGUAACGGCUCACCAAGCCGACGAUGGAUAGGGGAACUGAGAGGUUGGUCCCCCACACUGGUACUGAGACACGGACCAGACUCCUACGGGAGGCAGCAGUGAGGAAUAUUGGUCAAUGGGCGAGAGCCUGAACCAGCCAAGUCGCGUGAAGGAAGAAGGAUCUAUGGUUCGUAAACUUCUUUUGCAGGGGAAUAAAGUGCAGGACGUGUCCUGUUUUGUAUGUACCCUGAGAAUAAGGAUCGGCUAACUCCGUGCCAGCAGCCGC